rnacentral:rRNA from 1 species
UACGUAGGGUCCGAGCGUUGUCCGGAUUUAUUGGGCGUAAAGAGCUCGUAAGCGGUUCCGUAAGUCGGAUGUGAAAACUCAGGGCUCAACCCGGAGACGCCAUCUGAUACUGCGGUGACUGGAGUCUGGUAGGGGAUCACGGAAUUCCUGGUGUAGCGGUGAAAUGCGCAGAUAUCAGGAGGAACACCGAUGGCGAAGGCAGUGAUCUGGGCCAGUACUGACGCUGAGGAGCGAAAGCGUGGGGAGCAAACAGG